rnacentral:rRNA from 1 species
CCUACGGGAGGCUGCAGUGGGGAAUAUUGCACAAUGGGCGCAAGCCUGAUGCAGCCAUGCCGCGUGUGUGAAGGAGGCCUUCGGGUUGUAAAGCACUUUCAGCGGGGAGGAAGGCGGUGAGGUUAAUAACCUCAUCGAUUGACGUUACCCGCAGAAGAAGCACCGGCUAACUCCGUGCCAGCAGCCGCGGUAAUACGGAGGGUGCAAGCGUUAAUCGGAAUUACUGGGCGUAAAGCGCACGCAGGCGGUCUGUCAAGUCGGAUGUGAAAUCCCCGGGCUCAACCUGGGAACUGCAUUCGAAACUGGCAGGCUAGAGUCUUGUAGAGGGGGGUAGAAUUCCAGGUGUAGCGGUGAAAUGCGUAGAGAUCUGGAGGAAUACCGGUGGCGAAGGCGGCCCCCUGGACAAAGACUGACGCUCAGGUGCGAAAGCGUGGGGAGCAAACAGGAUUAGAUACCCCAGUAGUC